GUUGGCGGGGGAGCGCCUACCUCAUCCCCAGCCCUCACCUUGCCUCAGCAAAGGUAUUGGGGUGAGGGGCCAUGACCCCCAGAGCAGCCAAAGGCUCUGUCUUCUAGGAGGGCUGGUCUUUGUCCAAGGGUCCUGGUCCAGAGCCUGCUCACCUCCACGCCUCUGUCUGUCACUCCCUGCAGCACGACAGUGGGCAAAGCCUGAGCACAGUCUAGCAUGUAAUCAACAUUCAGGAAACCAUCGCAUUUUUUCAUUCUGAAAGCAAAUAUCAAGCAUCAGCAUGUGCCUCACGGGGCCGCACAUGUCAGCAGCUCCUCGGCAGGCCUGAAGUUCUCUCCAAGCCUCAUCCCAGCCACCAGAGCUUCAAGACUGCCCCAGGCUCCUGGCACAAUCCAAGGAGCACGUCCGUCCUCACCGUCAAGCCUUUCCAGCCAACAGAAGCGAGCGAGGAAGAAGAUCUAUGUAGCCUCCGUGUGUCUCUGGGAGAGAAGAUUGAUAAAAGCAAUUAGAAGUUUCCGGAAUUGCCUGGAGAAGAGAAGGCCAGCGGAAGGGGAGGGGGCAAAGAGGAGGAAGGAGAGGGCACCAGUUAAUAACGCCUGUCACACUGCUGAGGGGAUGCUGAGGGCCUCGGCUGGGCUGUGUCGCGGCUUCAAGAGGAACAAGGAAGCGAUGGCAGCUGUGCCCGCGGUGAGGACAUGGCUGGGCAUGAGGAAGCCUGUGGCUGACCAGCUCCAGGAGGGCUCUGGGGGGCUGCAGUCCCUGGGGGCAGCACGCACUGCAGGUGGCUCUGGUCGCCCCUGGGUUUGGCGCCCAGCAUAUUCCCUCGACACAUGGCCAUUUAAGGCCCAGGCCAGCAACCCGUCGGGUGCUCUUAGCCGCCUGCGUCUGCUGAGCCUUUUGGGCUUCUGGGACCUUUGUGACAGCAGUCACCAGGCUUUUCCUCCCAGUGGCUCUGAGCAUC
rnacentral:lncRNA from 13 species